GAUGAACGCUGGCGGCGUGCCUAACACAUGCAAGUCGAGCGAUCUUCUUCGGAAGAGAGCGGCGGACGGGUGAGUAAUGCCUAGGAAUCUGCCUGUUAGUGGGGGAUAACGCGGGGAAACUCGCGCUAAUACCGCAUACGUCCUACGGGAGAAAGCGGGGGCUCUUCGGACCUCGCGCUAACAGAUGAGCCUAGGUCGGAUUAGCUAGUUGGUGGGGUAAUGGCCCACCAAGGCGACGAUCCGUAACUGGUCUGAGAGGAUGAUCAGUCACACUGGGACUGAGACACGGUCCAGACUCCUACGGGAGGCAGCAGUGGGGAAUAUUGGACAAUGGGCGAAAGCCUGAUCCAGCCAUGCCGCGUGUGUGAAGAAGGUCUUCGGAUUGUAAAGCACUUUAAGUCGGGAGGAAGGGCUGUAGGCUAAUACCUUGCAGUUUUGACGUUACCGACAGAAUAAGCACCGGCUAACUUCGUGCCAGCAGCCGCCGUAA
rnacentral:rRNA from 1 species